rnacentral:rRNA from 1 species
GAUGAACGCUAGCGGGAGGCCUAACACAUGCAAGCCGAGCGGUAGAGUUUCUUCGGAAACUUGAGAGCGGCGCACGGGUGCGUAACACGUGUGCAACCUACCUUUAUCUGGGGGAUAGCCUUUCGAAAGGAGGAUUAAUACCCCAUAAUAUAAUGAUUGGCAUCAAUUAUUAUUGAAAACUCCGGUGGAUAGAGAUGGGCACGCGCAAGAUUAGAUAGUUGGUGAGGUAACGGCUCACCAAGUCAAUGAUCUUUAGGGGUCCUGAGAGGGAGAUCCCCCACACUGGUACUGAGACACGGACCAGACUCCUACGGGAGGCAGCAGUGAGGAAUAUUGGACAAUGGGUGGGAGCCUGAUCCAGCCAUCCCGCGUGAAGGAUGACGGUCCUAUGGAUUGUAAACUUCUUUUGUACAGGGAUAAACCUACCCUCGUGAGGGUAGCUGAAGGUACUGUACGAAUAAGCACCGGCUAACUCCGUG